AGAGUUUGAUCCUGGCUCAGGACGAACGCUGGCGGCGUGGAUUAGGCAUGCAAGUCGAACGGUAUGGCACCUUCGGGUGUCAGAGAGUGGCGAACGGGUGAGUAACACGUAGGUUAUCUACCCUCAAGAUCGGGACAACCCAGGGAAACUUGGGCUAAUACCGGAUGUGAGCAUCCUUUUUGGAUGUUUGAAAGGUGGCUUUUAGCUGUCGCUUGAGGAUGAGCCUGCGUCCUAUUAGUUAGUUGGUGAGGUAAUGGCUCCCCAAGGCUAUGAUAGGUAGGCGGCCUUAACGGGUGGUCGCCCACACUGGGAUUGAGAUACGGCCCAGACUCCUACGGGAGGCAGCAGUCGAGAAUAGUCUACAAUGGCCGAAAGGCUGAUAGUGCGACGCCGCGUGAACGAGGAAGCCCUUCGGGGUGUAAAGUUCUUUUAUAUGUGAGCAGUGCCGGUCAUAUUAAUAGUAUGACUGGAGCGAUAUUAGCAUAUGAAUAAGCAACGGCUAACUCCGUGCCAGCAGCCGCGGUAACACGGGGGUUGCGAGCGUUGUCCGGAAUUACUAGGCGUAAAGGGCAGGCAGGCGGACCUGCAAGUUUUCUGUUAAAGACGUCAGCUCAACUGGCGCACGGCAGGAGAUACUGCAGAUCUUGAAUGCGGUUGGGGAAGACAGAAUUCCUGGUGUAGCGGUGGAAUGCGCAGAGAUCAGGAGGAAUACCAAAGGCGAAGGCAGUCUUCCAAGCCGUUAUUGACGCUCAACUGCGAAGGUGUGGGUAUCAAACAGGAUUAGAUACCCUGGUAGUCCACACAGUAAACGAUGAUCACUAGGUGUCGGUUUGGUAAUAGGAUUCGGUGCCGUAGCUAACGGCGUUAAGUGAUUCGCCUGGGGAGUACGAUCGCAAGGUUGAAACUCAAAGGAAUUGACGGGGGCCCGCACAAGCGGUGGAGCAUGUGGUUUAAUUCGAGGCAACGCGAAGAACCUUACCCGGUCUUGACAUCUGUGGAAUUCUUCAGAGAUGAGGGAGUGCCGGUUUACCGGAGCCACAAGACAGGUGCUGCAUGGCUGUCGUCAGCUCGUGUCGUGAGAUGUUGGGUUAAGUCCCGCAACGAGCGCAACCCCUGCUUUCAGUUACCAUCAUUAAGUUGGGGACUCUGGAAGGACCGCUGCGGUAACAACGCAGAGGAAGAUGGGGACGAUGUCAGGUCAUCAUGGUCCUUAUGACCGGGGCUACACACGUGUUACAAUGGGAGGUACAGAGGGCAGCUAUCCGGUGACGGAAUGCUAAUCUCCAAAACCUUUCUCAGUUCGGAUUGGAGUGUGCAACUCGACUCCAUGAAGGUGGAUUCGCUAGUAAUCGCGCAUCAGCCAUGGCGCGGUGAAUACGUUCCCGGGCCUUGUACUCACCGCCCGUCAAG
rnacentral:rRNA from 1 species